rnacentral:lncRNA from 12 species
CAGGUUCCGGUCACAAGCUCGCUCUGCAGAGUGUCGUGUCAGGAGCCAAUUAGAGCGCGUGUUCAGGACGCAGUGCCCUCUUCUUUGAGACCCGCAGCUCUUUCUUGAAUCCGCCGGGCUUCUAAUGCGAUGUUGAAAUCUGCUCCUGCUUGACUCCUACAGCUGGUUUUGAUCAGGCUCCUCUAAAGAGGAAGUUUCAAUUAGCACAGCUCCAAAUGUGCUCUGGAGGGCCAAUGAGACUCCUAACCUCCAGUCCUAGAAGAUGCCUGGAAACCUGCGCCCUUCGUCAGCCUCGUGAAUUCAUAAUCGCUUCUCUGGAUUCCUCUGUCUUCCAGCUGAUUCGUCCAUCGUUCAGAGACUUCCACAAACAUCGUCCAGCUAAUUGGUCUGACAGACCCGAGGUGAGACCCA